ensembl:lncRNA MIR99AHG mir-99a-let-7c cluster host gene
GUGCUUUUUGUUUUUUUUUUUUGUUUUUUUUGCCUUUUCUGACUGGUGAUUUGUAUUUUUGUUUUAUUUAUUUAUUUAUUUUUUAGGUUACUACCUUUCUGCUUGUAGAAGAAUCCAAGUAGUUGGGUCUUUUUUUUUUUGGUUUAUAAUGAACAGGCAUUUGAACUGGGCAAACAGGACGACAGCAGCAGUGAGCAUGAGAUCAUUGCAUUGCAGCACUGUAGCAAACUGGCACCCUGCCUUUGCACCCCUUUGGUUCAGGAGACAAACGUGUGUAAUCCUCAUUUCUAAAGUCAGCACAGCCUGGAAGGAUUCCUGGUCUCUCCCACCUUCUACCAUUCUGCUGCCAGUGACGGCAAGGAUUGGUGUAGCUUCUGCGCAGUGCUUUGUGCCUGGAAUACCGAGAAGGAAGAAAAAGAAGACAAGCACCCUGGUCCUUUUCUAAGAAAUUACAGGCGCCCUUGAAGAAAAAAUCUGAGUGUGUCCUACUACAUGCAAGAGUGCUGGAAAAAAAAAAAAAAAAAAAAAAAAAAAGAGACGCUCCUGCUCAAAAACAAAAACAAAAGCAAACAAACAAAAAUCCAAACCAAAACAAACCAAAAAAAGCAAACAUUGGCUGUAUAACUACAGAGACAUCGGGCUUUGUAAAUCAGCUUUUUAAGGCAACAUAACCAAAUGAGCCUUCUUUAUUUUUAUUAUUUCAAACCAUAUGGCAUAAUUAGCAAUAUAUUGCACUUGGUGAAAUCGCACCUUUCAUAUCAGGGAAAAACUUAAAAUGGAUAUGAAAAGUGAAGAAAGUGAUCAUAGGAGAAAACCAUUUCAGGUGUCUGAUGAUUUGUGAGCCUCAAGUGACUACUCUGUGGAAUCAUCUGUCCUUGCCUUUGAAUUAGCUUUCCCUAGGCCAUGAGUCAACAUUAGUAGUUUAUACAUCCAAAUUGAUGACAAGAGCACCUCAAAGGCAGCAGCCUCAAGGAGCAGCCAUGGCCCCAGACUUGUCGCACGGAUGCAGAAAACUUAAUGGAGGAGGCUGAGGUCAGAAUGGGAAGAGUUUUUAAAAAAUAAAAAGGGGAGCUAAUAUGUGAGGAACUGAUUGCUGUGCAUUAUUUUCCACUGAACAGACCUUCUUUUAACUUCUAAUCUCAAGCACAUAGCAGCUGUUGUUUUCAUAUUAAAGAUCAGUAAGUGUUUGUUGAAUGAAUGUAUAAAUUCUUCCCCAAUCUCUGUUCCAUGUAAUAAGAACUAAGUUAGCAUUCAAUUAUAAAGAGGACUUAGAAAGUCUGCAGACAUUUUUGAUCAAAAAUCCUUUUAACUGUCUUCUUAUGGUUCCCGGUAACACCUAAGCCCAAAAAACUCAGGUCAUUUCUUGCCUGUACUGUUGCAAUAGCCUCAUAAUAACUAGUCUUCUCCUUUAUCAACCACAGUCGUCUCCGCUACACAAAGAAGAGAGGGUGCUAAUCUAAAGUGUAAAUUAUUUUAAAUCAGCACCCUUCUUGUAAUUUCCCAGUGGUUUUUCCUGUCAUAAGAAUAACAUGCAAAAUUCCUUGCUUGCAAAGCCAGGUAUGACCUUGCCCCGUCUACCUUACUGGCAUCGUCUCUCAUGACUCUUCCCCUUUUUCACUCUCCAUCUUGCCUUUUCCCAACCAUGCCUGCUAGUGAGCCUUAGCCCUUGUGUUUUCUCUGCCAGGGAUGCAUGACUGGCUUCUUUACUUUAUUCUGAUCUCUCUGCUCAAAUGUCAUCUUUUUAGAGAUAGCUUUCCUAAACAUCUUUAAAAGUACCCCAUGAACUGU